rnacentral:rRNA from 1 species
UACAGAGACUGCAAGCGUUGUUCGGAUUCAUUGGGCGUAAAGGGUGCGUAGGCGGCGCGGUAAGUCGGGUGUGAAAUCUUGGAGCUUAACUCCGAAACUGCAUUCGAUACUGCCGUGCUUGAGGACUGGAGAGGAGACUGGAAUUUACGGUGUAGCGGUGAAAUGCGUAGAUAUCGUAAGGAAGACCAGUGGCGAAGGCGGGUCUCUGGACAGUUCCUGACGCUGAGGCACGAAGGUCAGGGGAGCAAACGGG